rnacentral:rRNA from 1 species
GACGAACGCUGGCGGCGUGCUUAACACAUGCCAGUCGAACGGAAAGGCCCUGCUUUUGUGGGGUGCUCGAGUGGCGAACGGGUGAGUAACACGUGAGUAACCUGCCCUUGACUUUGGGAUAACUUCAGGAAACUGGGGCUAAUACCGGAUAGGAGCUCCUGCUGCAUGGUGGGGGUUGGAAAGUUUCGGCGGUUGGGGAUGGACUCGCGGCUUAUCAGCUUGUUGGUGGGGUAGUGGCUUACCAAGGCUUUGACGGGUAGCCGGCCUGAGAGGGGGACCGGCCACAUUGGGACUGAGAGACGGCCCAGACUCCUACGGGAGGCAGCAGUGGGGAAUAUUGCACAAUGGGCGGAAGCCUGAUGCAGCAACGCCGCGUGCGUGAUGACGGCCUUCGGGUUGUAAACCGCUUUCGCCUGUGACGAAGCGUGAGUGACGGUAAUGGGUAAAGAAGCACCGGCUAACUACGUG